UAAUAAUUUUUUAUAUUACCUUUCACCUUCAUCCAUUCUUACUGAAAUGGUAGAUAUCAUUCCAAUGCAUUCUGAUUAUUAUUUCAAACUGUCUCUCGUGUUUUAUUUUUUACUUUUACUGUCUCCUUCACUCAAUUCGACGUUUAACUUUAACUUUGGACCUAGCAUCGUGGACACAAACCUUUAGAAAGGAAUUAAGUAGCCUGGUAACUAAAUCUAAAAGGUGUUACGUAACUGUAGACGUACACGUAAAAGCAUGAAGCUGCCUGAGGUCGACUAAUAAGAAUAUAUCUCUUUCACGUGACUUGUCAGACAACGAACACGAACUAAACUCGGUUGAGAAAAUUUUAAGACUUAACCCAUUGGCAUGCAAUAAAUAUAUCGACGUGAUAUAUUUACCGGCAACCUACACGAUUAUAAAAAACGCGACGACUUUUCGCAACCGCCAUAGUCGUCUAAUUACGAGACAACUGACUCGCUUUAUUUUACUCAACUCGUAGAUGACGAUGAAGUAUUAAGCGACAUGUCACGGAGGAUUUUUUCGCGCUUGAAUUAUAAAAAUAUGCAUCGACGUGAAUUUUCCGCACGUUCUGCUAUUCGUAACUCGAAGAUGCGCACUGCGCGGAAUUGGCGUGUCGAUCGCGGGUGUUAAUAACCCGCGCAGCUCAAGUGAGGUUUCGUCAGGCACCUCGUGUAGGUAUAUCGUGAGAUAAGUCCUAUCGCUCGCGGCUGGUACACCGGGGCCCGAUAGAGAGCCACCCACCAUUUCGCGCGGCACGCCAGCAAGAUAAAACCCAGUGCACAAACCAGAUAUCGUCGGCAUUUAGUCGUUCUCUGUGUGUGCAUUAUCACGCACUCGACAUUUCGUGAAAUCAGUCACCGCGAGAGCCGCAGACGAUACAGUACGCCGUGCAUUGGACCGUUCAAUUUAAUACAGUGUGCUCGCUCGUUCUCCUACCUCCUCCUGCUCUACGAUUUGUAUUACACGGAGAAUACGGAGCGAAACCGUCGCGGAAGUCUGUCCUCGAGGAGGCCGACUUCCGGUCGAAACGAAGACGCGAUCCCGAGGUGGGAGAAGUGCACGGGGAAACGUAUAGUGGCACGUAGACGAUGCUCGAGCGCGCUCGGGCAAUUGCGAAAGCAAGAAACGUGUCUCUGAAUUGUGUCACCGAUUUACUUCCCGGUGAAAUUGCCAAGUCUGUGAAGCUACGUGUGGACUUUACUUGAGAUGGUGCAAAACAAAGCCGUGAAAAAUUCCUCUUUCUUUCUCCUUUUCUUUCCGCCUAAUAACUAAAUCAAAAUAUGAUGUAAUGAAAAUAUUGGAAAUCUAAUUCCUCGGUGUCCGAGAUAAAGAUACGCUUUCGUUAUUAAUAUCGUUAAUAUUAUUCCUAUCAAUAGAUAAGAAAAAGAAAUGCAACGUUGCAGCGGAAAUGAACCGACGGAAAUCAUGCCGCAUCGAAGGAAGUGGUUCGCUAAGCAAAACAUAUCUACCGGACGAAAUAUUUUCACUAAAGAUCAAGUAGACAUGGUUGUUUCUUUCCUGCGCUAUCGUCUUGGUCUGUAUUACGAAAUUGUCAGCUUAUCGUCAUUCGUUCUGCUAAUUAAAGUAAAUUAUUUUGCUGUCGUAUGAGGAACAAAUAACGCGCAAGUGAGAUAUCUUCCAUCUGUCUACGACUAUCUACUUCAUAGAAUUAGACGAGCGGAAGAGAUCUUUAAUCGAUUAUUAAUCAUAAAUACCAGACAUUUGAGCAAUGUCGCAAUUUUUUAAAAAAGGUAAAGAUAUUUGAGUUGAAGAGGACGAACGUCGUUUAUGCAAAGAAAAUCAUAAAUUCAUCCAGGCUUGAGGCUGUGACGAAGAAUGCACUGUGGUCGGUUAUAUCGAGAAAUGUUGAUUGUGGCCCGUGCAAUCGACAUAAAGUAAUAACUUCGGCGCAAUCAGAAAAAUUAAAUUACACGGUUCGGCCAGUAUUUGCGCCAAUGCAUUCGGCGAACGAAGACGACAUGGCGAAGGAUGACGGCAACGACUACUAUUGAUACAACGAUGGCGAUGAUUUAAUGUACAUCGGUUUACGUGAACCAUGACUUUUGUGCGGCACCGUGACCUCGCCACGUUGAACCCGACGCAGGCACAAGUACCCGACUGUACGGCGAAUCCAGGCCUUCGACGAAGGCAACUUUGUAGGCAACGAGAACGAUCGCGUCGUCUCUGAAUUUUUCCGAUGUCCAUUUAUAUACACGAUUCUUUAAAAAUUCCAUUCGUCUGUAUAAGUUCCAGCUCGAAAUAGCUUUGAAUAAUAAGUAUCCGGGUCGUAAAUUAUUGGUCAUUUAAGUUUGUGAGCUUCCGAUUGGUGAAUAACUUUUGUACCUACUCAUUUUCUAUAACUGUUAAAUGGCCGUAUGUUUCCCUCUUUACUUAACCGGUAGAAAAGCAAUAUAAAAGUUUUGUCCACAUAAUAGCUAGUAUAGUUUAUACUAUAAAAACUAAAAUUUACAAGAAAAAGUCAAGGAGAUUUUUAUGUGAGAAGCAAAAUGUUUUCUUUUUUUUUUGGUAAGUUUUAUCUGAUCAAAACUGUAAAAACAUCUCGCGUGGACGACUUGACAUUUUGCACUUUCGACGUAUUUACGUAAAGGCAGUUACGAAAUGAACGUACGAAAUCGCCUGACUCGACGCGAUAAGAUCUUUCGAACUUCACCUUCUUUAUAUAAAAUAUUAUAUUUUUAUCUUGACAUGUUCGUUCAAAUGUUUGCAGGAAAUAAUGGCGCAAUAGGUCAGCGAAAAUUUUAUGACAAAGUAAUAGCAUUUAUUGAAUUUUUGGUAAGAGCGUAUAUAAAUCCGGGUAAGCAUAAUAUGAAAAUUGACAAAACAGCGGGUCUUGAUGAACAAAGAAAACUAUCCUUGACGUCCCGAUAGUUUUAUCAUCUCGAUGGCGACCGAACAAACCGGGUACUCAAGUUUGUCUUAUUAUAUUGCGGUAUUAAAAGCAAACGGUCCAUUUGUAUAGACGCACACGUGACUCAUAUAGGAUCUCGACAUGACAACGCGACCAACGUGUGAUAAUGUUCCGUUCAUUAAUAUUUCGAGCAAGAAGCUUAUAUAUACGUGUGCUUGUAUUCAAAAAUUUUAUACCAUGUUCCACAUAAGAAUUAUUGCAACUCGUACUAUAAUUAUUCCAGAAGCUAAUUCUGAGCCAAGUGAACAAUUCAGUGUAAAACUUUGCCUCGUCAUAUAUUUCAAUGUUUAGAAGUAAUUAAAAAAAAGUUUCUCAUGUUACUUUUAUAUAUUAUAUAAAGGUCAAUGAAUAAAUAAAAUUAAAAGAUAUUAUUUACAUCAUUUUAUCACUUUCGCGUAUCUGUUUCUUUUAAAUCAAUAAAAAGUGUAACGGGCGUAAACAAAAAUGAAGAAAUUCGUCUGAAUCAAAAAGCAAUCGAAGGUGGCUCGUCUUCAAACAUCACGAAAUGACACGCGAUGGAGUGACUCAGGAGACUUGUGACGCAGCGAGCAAGUGUUUAAAUAGAAAUAAUGGCGACCCUGACGAUCGAGCCGAUAAAAUUCAACCGUUCGAGGGAAUGGUCAAAGUGACUGUUACAGGUGCCAGCGAUGCGCCUUACACUAGCACAGAAUAGGAUAAUAGAACGACUCCUCAUGACAUCGUUAUCGAAAUGCCAGGAAUGACGAUGUACCUUUCUGACUUUUUCCGCGCAAGCGAAUGCGACAAUAACUAAAGUUAUUUUAAUAAAGUACUUUCGGAGCGCUGUAUUAAAAUUUAAAAAAAAUAUAUAGACAAAUACAAAACCUGUAUUCCUUCAUACGUAGAAAUUAUGCAUAAACGUUUAUACAACACUGUUGAUACGUAACUUGUUGCGUUUAGUGGGUAAGCACAUAUUUUGACAUAUUACCCACGUAACAUUCCGGACAGCGAUCUUAUAUCUUAUAAUUAGUGCUGAUGUAUUCAAAAGCUGUGGCUUGUUAUCUUUAUUAAUAAUAUCUUUAUUGCUGUGUGGUAUUGAUGUAAUCGAUAGCAGGAGCAUUACGUGACAUAAUUAUCCACCACAAACCGCAAAUAAAUGCAGUCGAUCAUAAACGGUUAUCACGCCCACAUAAACGACAACAAGAAAUAACAAGUAAAUUAUUAAAAGAUACGUAUUGGUAACUAUCGUAAUAGUAAUAAUAAAUUUCAUUUGUAAAACGUACAAGUUUACGAACUUUAACUGGUCGGGACAUGAUGAUGUUCCAAAGUUAAGCCUUGGUCCUUAGAACCAAUUUGGAUACUGAAGAGACUCGUUUCGCGAUCGCGGCAAAGCUGGUAAAUACAUAUUUUAUGUUUACAAUAAAGUAAAUUUGCGGAUAAUUAUGAAAGUAUAAGGACUGAUCGCGAUGGUUUUUCAACAGCAUUACUCUGAAACAGCUGAAGAGGAACUUGUGAUACGCGAUUCACUGCUUUCGUAUUUUACAAUGUAACAAUAAUUGAAGUAUGUGACGCUAAAAGAGCGUACUCCUUAACUCUGGAUUGUGAUCUAGAAUUAUUAUUUAGAUUAUUAAACAUAGAUUAUUAAAAUGAGACGCUUUUCAGCGCAAAGCUUUGUAUUUUGCACAGUAAUGAUACGUACAUAUGCAGA